rnacentral:rRNA from 1 species
GACGAACGCUGGCGGCGUGCCUAAUACAUGCAAGUAGGACGCAGUUGCGAACGGGUGAGUAACGCGUAGGUAACUGCCUAUUAGAGGGGGAUAACUAUUGGAAACGAUAGCUAAUACCGCAUACUAGUAGAUGGACCUGCGUUGUAUUAGCUAGUAGGUAGGGUAAUGGCCUACCUAGGCAACGAUACAUAGCCGAACUGGGAGGGUGAUCGGCCAAACUGGGACUGGGACACGGCCCAGACUCCUACGGGGAGCAGCAGUAGGGAAUCAUCGGCAAUGGGGGGAACCCUGACCGAGCGACGCCGCGUGAGUGAAGAAAGUUUUCGGAUCGUAAAGCUCUGUUGUUAAGGAAGCGGUACUUAACCAGAAAGGGACGGCUAACUACGUGCCAGCAGCCGCGGUAAUUC